CAGUUCUUCAAGGUAGAAAUCCACCGAAGUGCCAAAACGCUGCUCUGCCGCGGCUCAUCUCCAUCAUCGGCUCGUCGCCCACGGCUCCGUCGUCCACGCCGUCGUCUACGUCGCUGACCUCAUACGUAGCCAGCCGGCAGAACAUCUACAUCGCCAUAGUCUGCUGCUCUGCUCCUAUGCGCCGGCAGCUACUCAUCUUCAUCGCUAAGGUGAGAAAUUGGGAGGCAAAGUUUGAUGCAUAGCUGAUAUUCCUCCAGCUUGAUCAUGAUGAUGUUCUGUAUCAUAGAUGUUUUGCAUUUGCAAUACUCUACCAUGUUUCACAAAUCCACUCUUGGUUCGGUCCCAAAUCCACUCUUGGUUCGGUCCCAUGGAGAUCUUGAUCGCCCAUGUUGAUACAAGCCAAGGGAUGUACUCAAUUUGCAUAUAAACAUGAUUCACUCUUGAUUCGGUCUCAUGGGGAUCUCUUGAUCGCCCAUGCUGAUACAAAUUAAGAGAUGUAUUUCAUCGACCCAUAAAUAUAUUUCACUCU
rnacentral:lncRNA from 1 species